rnacentral:rRNA from 1 species
GUACACUCCUACGGGAGGCAGCAGUGGGGAAUAUUGGACAAUGGGCGCAAGCCUGAUCCAGCCAUGCCGCGUGAGUGAUGAAGGCCCUAGGGUUGUAAAGCUCUUUCACCGGUGAAGAUAAUGACGGUAACCGGAGAAGAAGCCCCGGCUAACUUCGUGCCAGCAGCCGCGGUAAUACGAAGGGGGCUAGCGUUGUUCGGAUUUACUGGGCGUAAAGCGCACGUAGGCGGACUAUUAAGUCAGGGGUGAAAUCCCGGGGCUCAACCCCGGAACUGCCUUUGAUACUGGUAGUCUUGAGUUCGAGAGAGGUGAGUGGAAUUCCGAGUGUAGAGGUGAAAUUCGUAGAUAUUCGGAGGAACACCAGUGGCGAAGGCGGCUCACUGGCUCGAUACUGACGCUGAGGUGCGAAAGCGUGGGGAGCAAACAGGAUUAGAUACCCCAGUAGUCCCAUGA